rnacentral:rRNA from 1 species
AGUGAACGCUGGCGGUAGGCCUAACACAUGCAAGUUGAACGGCAGCACAGUAAGAGCUUGCUCUUACGGGUGGCGAGUGGCGGACGGGUGAGGAAUACAUCGGAAUCUACUUUUUCGUGGGGGAUAACGUAGGGAAACUUACGCUAAUACCGCAUACGACCUACGGGUGAAAGCAGGGGAUCUUCGGACCUUGCGCGAUUGAAUGAGCCGAUGUCGGAUUAGCUAGUUGGCGGGGUAAAGGCCCACCAAGGCGACGAUCCGUAGCUGGUCUGAGAGGAUGAUCAGCCACACUGGAACUGAGACACGGUCCAGAAUCCUACGGGAGGCAGCAGUGGGGAAUAUUGGACAAUGGGGGCAAGCCUGAUCCAGACAUACCGCGUGGGUGAAGAAGGCCUUCGGGUUGUAAAGCCCUUUUGUUGGGAAAGAAAAGAAGCAGGUUAAUACCCCGCUGUUCUGACGGUACCCAAAGAAUAAGCACCGGCUAACUUCGUG